rnacentral:rRNA from 1 species
UACGUAGGGUGCAAGCGUUAUCCGGAAUUAUUGGGCGUAAAGGGCUCGUAGGCGGUUUGUCGCGUCGGGAGUGAAAUCCACUGGCUUAACUGGUGGCUUGCUUUCGAUACGGGCAGACUGGAGGUAUGCAGGGGAGAACGGAAUUCCUGGUGUAGCGGUGAAAUGCGCAGAUAUCAGGAGGAACACCGGUGGCGAAGGCGGUUCUCUGGGCAUGUCCUGACGCUGAGGAGCGAAAGCGUGGGGAGCGAACAGG